rnacentral:rRNA from 1 species
AAGGUCUCCGCAAGGGGACCCUAGAGCGGCGAACGGGUGAGUAACGGGUGGAUAAUCUGCCUCUUGGUGGGGGAUAACGGCUGGAAACGGCCGCUAAUACCGCAUGAGGUUGCGAGAACGCAUGUUCUUGCAAAGAAAGGGGCCUUUAAAGCCUCGCCAAGAGAUGAGUCCGCCUCCCAUUAGCUAGUUGGCGGGAUAAUAGCCCACCAAGGCUUCGAUGGGUAGCCGAGCUGAGAGGUUGAUCGGCCACACUGGGACUGAGACACGGCCCAGACUCCUACGGGAGGCAGCAGUGGGGAAUAUUGGACAAUGGGCGGAAGCCUGAUCCAGCAAUGCCGCGUGAGUGAUGAAGGCCUUAGGGUUGUAAAGCUCUUUUACCGGGGACGAUGAUGACGGUACCCGGAGAAUAAGCCCCGGCUAACUUCGUGCCAGCCGCCGCUGUAACAC